rnacentral:piRNA from 2 species
GGUUAGGAUUCGGCGCUCUCACC